AGUGCCGAGGAUUUUUGCUUCAAUGCGGUCUCGUCUUCCAACAAAGGCCGCUGUCUUUUGCCUCAGAAGCAUCUAAGACCUGCUGCUUCCUCUGCUGCGCCUACUAGCUCCUGGCCUCACCACCCAGCCUUCACCGUCAGCUCUCCCCCAGCUUCGGACCUGCCUACACUGUUUUCUCAUACAACCCUGGCUCUCCAUUAAAACCUUUAUUUUUGAAUCUA